rnacentral:rRNA from 1 species
CACCUCUAGCAUUUCCAGUAUUAGAGGCACUGCCUGCCCAGUGACAUCUGUUUAAACGGCCGCGGUAUCCUAACCGUGCAAAGGUAGCAUAAUCACUUGUUCCCUAAAUAGGGACUUGUAUGAAUGGCCACACGAGGGUUUUACUGUCUCUUACUUCCAAUCAGUGAAAUUGACCUUCCCGUGAAGAGGCGGGAAUGACUAAAUAAGACGAGAAGACCCUAUGGAGCUUUAAUUAACUGAUUCACAAAAAACAACACACGAACCUAACCUUCAGGGACAACAAAACUUUUGAUUGAAUCAGCAAUUUCGGUUGGGGUGACCUCGGAGAACAAAACAACCUCCGAGUGAUUUAAAUCCAGACUAACCAGUCAAAAUAUAUAAUCACUUAUUGAUCCAAACCAUUGAUCAACGGAACAAGUUACCCUAGGGAUAACAGCGCAAUCCUAUUCCAGAGUCCAUAUCGACAAUUAGGGUUUACGACCUCGAUGUUGGAUCAAGACAUCCUAAUGGUGCAACCGCUAUUAAGGGUUCGUUUGUUCAACGAUUAAAGUCUU